rnacentral:lncRNA from 1 species
ACGGCAGCAACUUGGAGACAACCGACACUCAUUAGGAAGCAAUGCAAUGAAUGUUCUAGUUUGCCUCAGAGAUUGGAUUAGAGCAGAAAGAAGAAACCAAGGAAUGGAACCGGAGCCGAGCGACGAGCUGAAACUUGAAGAAAUUAUGACUUCAUGGGAGAACUCAGCAGAAUCAAGUCCAAUGUAUGGUUUUGCCCCCGUUGACUUCGACUAUCCUAUGCAAGUUUCCGUCAGUAUUAACACGAAUGAGU